AUUGAACGCUGGCGGCAGGCCUAACACAUGCAAGUCGAGCGGAUGAAGGGAGCUUGCUCCUGGAUUCAGCGGCGGACGGGUGAGUAAUGCCUAGGAAUCUGCCUGGUAGUGGGGGAUAACGUCCGGAAACGGGCGCUAAUACCGCAUACGUCCUGAGGGAGAAAGUGGGGGAUCUUCGGACCUCUCGCUAUCAGAUGAGCCUAGGUCGGAUUAGCUAGUUGGUGGGGUAAAGGCCUACCAAGGCGACGAUCCGUAACUGGUCUGAGAGGAUGAUCAGUCACACUGGAACUGAGACACGGUCAAGACUACUACGGGAGGCAGCAGUGGGGAAUAUUGGACAAUGGGCGAAAGCCUGAUCCAGCCAUGCCGCGUGUGUGAAGAAGGUCUUCGGAUUGUAAAGCACUUUUAGUUGGGAGGAAGGGCAGUAAGUUAAUACCUUGCUGUUUUGACGUUACCAACAGAAUAAGCACCGGCUAACUUCGUG
rnacentral:rRNA from 1 species